rnacentral:rRNA from 1 species
UACGGAGGGUGCAAGCGUUGUCCGGAAUUACUGGGCGUAAAGGGCGCGUAGGCGGCUCGGUACGUCGGGGGUGAAAUCCUGCGGCUCAACCGCAGGGCUGCCUUCUAAACUGUCGAGCUCGAGCACGGUAGAGGCAGAUGGAAUUCCCGGUGUAGCGGUGGAAUGCGUAGAGAUCGGGAAGAACAUCAGUGGCGAAGGCGGUCUGCUGGGCCGUUGCUGACGCUGAGGCGCGACAGCGUGGGGAGCAAACAGG